rnacentral:rRNA from 1 species
UACGGGGGGGGCAAGCGUUGUUCGGAAUUACUGGGCGUAAAGGGUCUGUAGGUGGCCAAUUAAGUCAGACGUGAAAUCCCUCAGCUUAACUGGGGAACUGCGUCUGAGACUGGAUGGCUUGAGUGCAGGAGAGGAAUGCGGAAUUCCAGGUGUAGCGGUGAAAUGCGUAGAUAUCUGGAGGAACACCGGUGGCGAAGGCGGCAUUCUGGACUGCAACUGACACUGAGAGACGAAAGCCAGGGGAGCAAACGGG